rnacentral:lncRNA from 1 species
AUGCAUAUAGUCUAUGGAAUAUCUAUGCUGAAGGUUGCAUUUAAUUUUAAAUUAAGCCUGUUAAGGAUGACAACUGAAUCAUUGUGGGUAGGGGGGCUUUUGUUUAUAGUUCUUACCUUCUGGACAGGACUUCACAAAACAAACGAUAUACUUUCAGUGGUAGUCCAAGAGACUAUUUCAGCUCGGUUCCAAGAAACAAAAGUCCAUUCCAGGAGGCAAUCGUGUUUGUAG